rnacentral:rRNA from 1 species
AACCUCCGCAAUGUGAGAAAUCGCGACGGGGGGAUCCCAAGUGCCAUUCUUAACGGGAUGGCUUUUCAUUAGUGUAAAGAGCUUUUGGAAUAAGAGCUGGGCAAGACCGGUGCCAGCCGCCGCGGUAACACCGGCAGCUCUAGUGGUAACAAUUUUUAUUGGGCCUAAAGCGUCCGUAGCCGGUUUAAUAAGUCUCUGGUGAAAUCCUGUAGCUUAACUGUGGGAAUUGCUGGAGAUACUAUUAGACUUGAGAUCGGGAGAGGUUAGAGGUACUCCCAGGGUAGAGGUGAAAUUCUGUAAUCCUGGGAGGACCGCCUGUUGCGAAGGCGUCUAACUGGAACGAUUCUGACGGUGAGGGACGAAAGUUAGGGGCGCGAACCGGAUUAGAUACCCGGGUAGUCCUAACUGUAAACGAUGCGGACUGGUGUUGGGGUGGCUUUGAGCUGCUCCAGUGCCGAAGGGAAGCUGUAAGUCCGCCGCCUGGGAAGUACGGUCGCAAGACUGAAACUUAAAGGAAUU